UUCAGGCCCAUGUAGAAGGGGCUUGUGACCAUGACAAGAAAUUCAUGCCUCACAUUCAGUUUUUAGCACAAGGUAACAAUACUGACCUAAACUUUAUUUAUUUAUUUAUUUAUUUGUCGUUUUGCCGUUUCUUGGGCUGCUCUCGUGGCAUAUGGAUGUUCCCAGGCUAGGGGUCGAAUCGAAGCUGUAGCUGCCGGCCUAUACCAGAGCCACAGCAACGUGGGAUCCGAGCUGUGUCUGCGACCUACACCACAGCUCACAGCAACGCCAGAUGCCCAACCCACUGGGCAAGGCCAGGGAUCGAACCCGCAACCUCAUGGUUCCUAGUCAUAUUCGUUAACCACUGCACCUUGACGGGAACUCCUCUGACCUAAACUUUAAAGCAUUGUUUUAUAUUCAUUAUAGCUAUGUCUUAUAGCUCCCUCCAAUUUAAGGCAAAUAAUAUAUUCUUUACCCAUUUACAGUAGUGAUAUAAUCUUUUAAAAAAUAUGGUGAGUCAAUUUAAAGAGGAGUAUUGUAUAGAUAUUGAUGGUUUCAUAAUUACAGUAAAACCCAUGUGAGUUAUUCAAGAACAAAGUAUGUGAAGUCCUGCCCUCUCACAAAGCAAAUAGAUUACUGGGAGACACAGAAUAUUAAGCCGUGAGCAGGAAGUAGUUUAUCAAGGUGGAAAAGCUAUGUACCACCCAGUAUCCUUAAUGAGAGGACCCAGAAUAGGUUAACGUUAUAGCCAUAAGGCAGUGAGUUCUAACUUGACCUUUUCUGCCACACUAGCAGAUGUAGUUAGCACUCACAUUGGCCCCAGGACCUUUGAAAGUGAAGAAGAAAAGCAGUUUAAAUCUCAUUAGGUUUUUAACCUGGCAGUGUAUCAUUUUUCCCAUACUGCAGGGUCACAGGCUCCAUUAAUAUAAGGAGUUAAAGAUUACAUUCUGAGUGGCUGGCAACACCAUUCUCAAGUGCAUUACUCAUCUCAAGUUAGACGUCACAAGGGGAGCUGGCUAUCGCUUUCAAGCCAGUGGGUGUAAAACUUGCUGUUCCUUUCUAUUUGUCUGUGAGAUAAUUCUGGCUCUCCCUUUCCCUCCAGGAUACGGCUGCCAAAAAGAAUGAAUCUUGGUACCUACUCUAUUCAUAAUGAUCUCCGUAACAGGAGAAGUAAAUGUUUCUUGUUGCUAACUGGGAACAUUUCCCUCAAAUGAUUGCAAGUAGUAGGACUGCCUUCCAUUGAUGGAUAAUUCCAGCAGCACUUUUUUUUUUUUUUUUUUUUCCUUCUUCAGCAGAGUGGAGAUAGCGUCAUAGUGGGAUAAAAUGGGCUAGAGUUACUAGCUCUGACGUUCUAAUCUUGGGUCUUCCGCUGCCUAGCUCUCUCCUCUCCAGCCAGCCACUUAACCUCUUUUUGAAGUCAGCUUCCUCCAGAAGGAGACCUGGUCACAUGUACCUCUUGUCUGAGCACCAGAUAAGGCAGAACUGUAUAGAGGCAAUAGCCUAAUCCUCAGUGCAAAAGUGCUUUUCAGAAGUUUUUCUUUCCCCACACGCCCCCUCUUCACCCCAGGAUGUCUUAGACCGCUUAACUUCAUAUACUCUCCACCAAUGUCAAAGACUCCAGCUAGACUGAAAGCCUUUGCUUGUAUUGAAGAGCAGCCUUCUGUCUGGUUGUAGGCUUAUUAGCCAUGCAGCGUGAUAUAGUUGUAGAAAGAGUGGCCUUUCUUUUCUUUAUAUCUCUGUGUUGAUGGAUGUCAUCUAAAUGGAUAAUUUUUCAGGUUUUUUUGUUAUUUUUGUUUGUUGUGUUUUUCUUUUCUCUUUGUUUUUGCUUUCAGCCCUUGAAUUUCCACAUGAAUUUCCACAACAUAUAUGGAGUAUUUUAGUCACUUUUGAAUGCUUUGGUGUUUCAUCUUUAAUAAAGAACUAACAAUUAAAUUUAAUUCCCUCAAGUAUAAAGUAAAAUAUAUAUUGAGUGCAUUUCUACAACUUUUAUGACUAUAGAAAGUGACAAAUGGUUAUUUUGUAAAUUACUUUGUAACCCUCACCUUGAUGCCGAGGGUUCAAAGGAACAUGUAUGUAGAAAUCUUGAAAAAAUACAUCUUCUCAAAUAGUUUUUCUUAAAUAGAGAUGUCAUUUGUUAUUCACAAAACAUCCUUUGCCUUUUAGCAUCACCUGGAAUAUAGAGAACACGUACUCAUGUAUCUACUUGGGCUGAGAAUAAAUAGCCAAACUGAUCUUGGAAAUACAUAAAGAUGACAUUGUUAUCUUUUGCUUCAGCUGUUACCAAAGAAUUAGACUGGGUUAGACUGGGUAUUUGCCAGGCAGGCAGGAACACUGAAAGAACAGACUUCAUUUAAAAGUGGCAAUCUAGGGAGUUGCCUUCAUUGCUCAGCUGUUAACAUACCCAACUAGGAUCCACGAGGAUGUGGAUUCGAUCUCUGGCCUUGCUCAGUGGGUUAAGGAUCUGGCAUUGCUGUGAGCUGUGAUGUAGGUUGCAGUCACAGGUCGAAUCCCAUGUUGCUGUGGCUGUGGUGUAGGCUGGGGGCUGCAGCUCUGAUUCAACCCCUAGCCUGCGAACCUCUGUAUGCCUUGGAUGUGGCGGUAAAAAGCAAAAAAAAAAGUAAAAGUGGCAAUCUAGGAGUUUCCCACAAUGGUGCCAUGGGUUAAGAAUCUGACUGCAGUGACUUGAGCUGCUGUGGAGGUGCAGGUUUGAUCCCUGGCCGGAUUCAGUGGGUUAAAGGAUCUGGGAUUGCCACAGCUGCAGCGUAGGUCACAGCUGCAGCUCAGAUUCAAUCCCUGGCCCAGGAACUUCCAUAUGUCACAAGUGAAGCCAUAAAAAUAAAAAAUAAAAUAAAAUGGAUCUGCUAAAAGUGGUAUCUUGUGUGGACAAACUACUUUGUAUUCUUGAGCUAAUAGUUUGCAGAAAGCAAGAGGCACCUGGUCUUUCAGAACCCUGCCCCACCCAUUGUUAACUCCUGCUAGUUAUUUUGUGCAUGAUGCUCUAGUGGACUGAAAAAGCAAGUUGACUUCUAAAACUUAUGUUUAAAUAAAAACACAACAUAUAUGGAGUAUUUUAGUCACUUUU
rnacentral:lncRNA from 1 species